rnacentral:lncRNA from 1 species
UCCUUUCUUUCUUGAUGGAGUUUCGCUCCUGUUGCACAGGCUGGAGUGGAAUGGCACAAUCUCAGCUCACCACAACCUCCGCCUCCUGGGUUCAAACGAUUCUCCUGCCUCAGCCUCCUGAGUAGCUGGGAUUACAGGCAUAUGCCACCAUGCCCGGCUAAUUUUCUAUUUUUAGUAGAGAUGGGGUUUCUCCAUGUUGGUCAGGCUGGUCUCAAACUCUCGACCUCAGGUGAUCUGCCCACCUCAGCCUCCCAAAGUGCUGGGAUUACAGGCGUGAACCACUGUGCCUGGCCCAAACCAUUCCAUUUCUACUCAUUAUCUCACUUAAGCCACAGUGAAGCCUGUUGUUACCGAUGAGGUCAUAGAGGCUAGAUGACCCCAGAAAACUUGCCUAGUUUUGGGUAGUGGAAUAGACUAAAAUCUGAUCCUGUGGCUGUAAAACUCUGAAGCUUGGGUUCUUCUCACUCUUCCACACUGGUAGAAUUCAUGCACUCUCACACAUUCCUCCCCAUUCUCUGAAUUCCCACAAAGACUGUUAUUGCUGGGGCUCAUAAAAUUAUACCCCAAAGUAUGAUGCUUUGGCAUCCAGAGUGCUUUGAACUAUAGGAGAUUGAAGGCCCCAGAAGCCAAGUUUCCCUCUGACCUUCUCCUGCCUUCCUGUCUUCCACCCCCUGCUUUUCCCCUGAAGUGAGUCCUGGAAGCCAGAAUUCUUCUUGCCCAAAGCAAGCCGUGACACCCUGGAAAUAUCACUCUAACCUUCCUUGCCUUUCCGUGUGGCAGCUGGCCAUGAAGAAAUUCUCUGACCUACCUUGUUUGAUAGCAGAUCACAAGACCCUGGUUCCAGAGCGGUCCUGCUUUACACCGAGGGAAAGGAAUGUCAUACAGAAAGGCCAAGAAGAAUCUGAAGAGAUGUCCAAUCACCUUUUCACGUGGCUGCCCAUUCUUCAUUGAACCUAAGCAUUAAAAUAGACAGUUUCCCCUGGGUCUUUGGGUCUUCAUUUCUGAAGACUCCAUGUCAUGUAAAACUUUGAUUAAAUAAAUGUAUCAUGC